UUGUCAAUGCCCUCGGCCGCAUCCUUUCUUGUGACAACCUCAACCUCCUCUACGAUGCCUCCCCCACAUUCCUUGAUUGCAUCUCUGCCUAGUAGCACUACAUUGCUGCCACCAGCCUCGAACACUACAAUAUUGUCGCCCAUGCUGCCUUCGGCUCUCCUACCUGUCUAUUUGAGGAGUGUUAAUGUAGAGAAAAACGAAGAGAGAGAGACGUAGAGGGAGAGGUACAGUGCCAUAGCCCACCUGUUAUAGUUGAAGGUGGCUAUGUAUAGCUCAUAUACAAGUCAUGUAUAUAGUUAUUCAAUACAGCUCAUAUAUAACUAAUAAUACAACUCAUAUACAGCUAAUAUCCUCCCUCAAACUUAAGAUGGUAUUGAAGAUGCCAACUUAAGUUUGCUAACCAAAUCACGAUGAUGCCCCGGUGGAUAGGCCUUUGUAAAAAUAUCAGCAAACUGAUCCGCAGAAGCAACAUAUAUCAACUGAAGAAUGCCUUGCUUGAUGAUGCCGAAUAAAGCGACAAUCUAUCUUCAUGUGUUUUGUUCGCUCAUGAAACACAUCAUUAUAAGCAAUUUGCAGGAUACUCAUAUUAUCACAAUGAAGAGAGGAGCGGCUAGUCAAAGGAACAUGUUUGGGCAUUGCUUGCAGUUUGACUCAAUUGUGAACAGUCUAGUAUCCAUGAAGAAUUGAGAACAAAAAUGACAUAAAGAGAGAGAGAGAGAGAGAGAGAGAGAGAGAGAG
rnacentral:lncRNA from 1 species